rnacentral:lncRNA from 1 species
GAAGGAACAUACUAGUACCACCACUACUGGUACCGGCAAGCACACAACACAAGACAGUUAGCAUCCGGCAUCGAUCAGACAGAUGGUGGCAUGGUUUUAGCUUCGGCCAUGAUCAUGCAGAAACGAAAAAAAAACAGAAAAACAGGGUACCCCAACAUCUUCGACCAGACCUAUGACUAUACUAGUACAUCUGGGGCAAUUCAGUGGGUGGACCAACCAACUGAAGUAGCAUAGCCGUCUAAUGAGUGCGAGAUUCGGUGGCAUCACUCGGUCAACUAGGUUGCUCCCCACCCCACCCACGCCAUGGAUCUGAGGCAGCCAGCUUGAGCCGCCGCCCGCCCGCCCGUCCGUCCCUAUAAAAGUAAAAGCAGUAGUGGGCGACCCGCCUCACCGGUGUCGCCCCGGGCCGCGACGGAGAUCGGGGGACAUGCAAAGAGGAGCAGACAAGUGGGGGAGAGGAGAGGAUCGGCCACUCACCUCCGUGACCGCUUUCGUCCCCCGCCACGGCCUGCGUCGAGCUUGGGCCUCUUGGCGUCCCCUCCGUGGCCGCUUUCAUCCCCCGCCGCGGCGGCGUCGGACGACCUCUUGGACGGGAGCAUGGCCCGCAGGCCCCUGCGCAGCAGCCACCGUAAGCAACCCAUGGCCGAGACCCCCAAUCCGGUACA